GUUGGGGUUGGUGCUUGAGUAUUUCUUCUAUGAAGGUGGUCAUGGCAUCUGCCCGGUAAGCGGAAGGUCGUGGGUUCGAUUCCCAUCCCUUGACA